ACUUCAUGCACCUCUUCUCGUACUCGAUUCUGCCAUUCUGGGUGCAGUCCAAGGAGCAUUAGACACCACGCAGCUGUAACAGCUGUGCUCUCAUGUCCUGCAAAAUAUAUGCUCUUGCAGUUAUCCACUAUAAAGUUCUCUGCCUCGGCAAUGCCCACCCUACUGGUGCUUGCGCUGUGAAGAAUUGCACUCAGUAAGUUCCUGUCUUCUCCACUUUCCUUUACGAUUUCAAGAAUUAGUUUGCGGACUUGUUUGUGAAGCUCCCAGGCCUGCUUGUUCCUCAUUGAAGGAAAGAACCUGCAAGCAUUUAUAGCUUUAAUUUUACAAUUUACAGGUCUGUUCAAUCAAUGUGUUGCCUUGGGUCAGUAAUAGUUCUUUCAUUUUGUUUAUUCACAAUCAAUUAUGCACUUGAUACACGAGUAUUUCGUUUACCCCCUAACCUUAGGCCAGUCAUUUCAGCUAGCACAUUUGGCUUGGACACAGCCUGCUGGAGUUCUCUGAUCUUCAUAAAGAUUUCCUUUCCUUUGAUGUAGCUGCUUCCAAAGCACGUUCUAGAGAUCACAUCUGCAGAGUAAGCCCUGAUGUCAUCGUCGAUCUUAAUGUCUGUGAUCCCACCAUUUCUAUCAACUCUCUCUUCCCAUGACAUAAGCAGUGGCUGUGCAGAAUCGACCAUCAGAUCCACCAUGCCCUGUGUAUGAGUAAAAGUUAUUGACAUGUCAAAAUGCAUGGUUGCCGCUUGCUGUUGUCAAACUUCUAAACUCUAAUUUAUUGAUCAAUGCCCACGAUGGCAUUUAAAUCGAUUUCUGCAAUGCCUCUUUGAACCCAAAAAAAAAAUUGCCAGGAGUGCGAUUGGCUCGCGGGUGCUUAGAUUGUUAUUUUGCUCGUGGGUGCAUGUAUGGUAAAAAAUUUGAUCAUGCAUAGCUCCGCCCCUGCCAGGAUUGGCAGCUAUGGAGUGAACAAGUGGACAGCAUCUGAAACACGCAUAGGAUUGGAUUUGUCAUAUUGGUCAGUUUGCGUACGACUGCACUGCAUAGGAUUUGGAUGAGGCCAAUGUGGACAACCAGUAAUAUCCAAUGAUACACUAUUUUAUGCUGGUGAUUACUGUUGGGCUCAUGGCCUCGUACCUUGACCUUGUCCAGGAAGAACUCCGGGGCGAUGAUUUUCCUCUGGUGCAGCCAGGCCUCGCCGUUGGACUUGAGGAUGCCCCCGCCGAAGAGGGGCUCGUGCGUUGCCUUGAGGUAGGAGCUCUUGCCGAGGUCCAGCGACACGCAGAGGUUGAUGUCCCGGACCACGUCGGGCCGGCUCACGUGAAGGAAUACGACGUUCCCCAUGGAGUAAGUGAAUAUGGGACCUGCAUUAUAUUUCAGUGAAACUGGACAAGUCAGCUGAGGCUCGUUGUAUAGGCCUGAUCUACUACGGUCACUGUCCGGUUGAUGAGCGAACUGUCACGGCGUACUGUAGGUUAACAGAGACCGGGUAUGGGUCCAUCUCCGGUCAAGUGGGCGUGGACAGGGUUCAGUCGACGAGUCAUGGUCAUGGUUGAUAAGUUUUCCCUACCCCUCAUGAUUAAUUGUUUACUCAA